AGUUCAGAUUUCCUCGGCAGUUAACUGCAGCCGGAUUUUUAAUUCCUCGGCAGUUAACUGCCGAGGGG
rnacentral:pre_miRNA from 1 species